rnacentral:tRNA from 1 species
GGGAAUAGCUCAGCGGUAGAGCACCGCCUUGCCAAGGCGGGGGUCGCGNAAAAAAUAGUUGCAUUGCUCU